GACGAACCGGACAAGCGUUAUUCGGAAUUACUGGGCUUAAAGGGUUUGUAGGCGGCCUUGUAAGUCAGGUGUGAAAUCCCUCGGCUCAACCGAGGAAUGGCGCUUGAUACUGCACGGCUUGAGGGAGACAGGGGUAAGCGGAACUGAUGGUGGAGCGGUGAAAUGCGUUGAUAUCAUCAGGAACACCGGUGGCGAAAGCGGCUUACUGGGUCUCUUCUGACGCUGAGGAACGAAAGCUAGGGGAGCGAACGGG
rnacentral:rRNA from 1 species